rnacentral:rRNA from 1 species
GUAGGGAGUGUCGGAUUACUGGGCGUAAGAGCGCGUAGGUGGUUCGAUCAGUCGGAGGUGAAAGCCCUCGGCUCAACCGAGGAUCCGCGUCCGAUACUGUCGAACUUGAGUGCAGGAGAGGAGAGCGGAAUUCCCAGUGUAGCGGUGAAAUGCGUAGAUAUUGGGAGGAACACCGGUGGCGAAGGCGGCUCUCUGGACUGCCACUGACACUGAGGCGCGAAAGCUAGGGGAGCAAACGGGAUUAGAUACCCCGGUAGUCCUAGCCGUAAACGAUGGGCACUAGGUGUGGGAGGUAUCGACCCCUUCCGUGCCGCAGCUAACGCAUUAAGUGCCCCGCCUGGGGAGUACGGCCGCAAGGUUGAAACUCAAAGGAAUUGACGGGGGCCCGCACAAGCAGCGGAGCAUGUGGUUUAAUUCGAAGCAACGCGAAGAACCUUACCUAGACUUGACAUCUCCUGAAUAGCCGGUAACUCGGCGAAGCCCUUCGGGGCAGGAAGACAGGUGGUGCAUGGUUGUCGUCAGCUCGUGUCGUGAGAUGUUGGGUUAAGUCCCGCAACGAGCGCAACCCUUAUUAUUAGUUGCUACCAUUUAGUUGGGCACUCUAAUGAGACUGCCGUGGUUAACGCGGAGGAAGGUGGGGAUGACGUCAAAUCAUCAUGCCCCUUAUGUCUAGGGCUACACACGUGCUACAAUGGUGAGUACAAAGAGACGCAAGACCGUGAGGUGGAGCAAAACUCAAAAACUCAUCCCAGUUCGGAUUGUAGGCUGAAACUCGCCUACAUGAAGCCGGAGUUGCUAGUAAUCGCGAAUCAGCAUGUCGCGGUGAAUACGUUCCCGGGCCUUGUACACACCGCCCGUCACACCAUGAGAGUCUGCAACACCCGAAGUCCGUGAGGUAACCCGUAAGGAGCCAGCGGCCGAAAGUGGGGCCGAUGAUUGGGGUGAAGUCGUAACAAGGUAACC